CACGUAGGAGCCAAGCGUUAUCCGAAUUCACUGGGCGUAAAGCGCGUGCAGGCGGUCCGGUAAGUUGGAUGUGAAAUCUCCUGGCUCAACUGGGAGAGGACGUUCAAUACUGUCGGACUAGAGGGUGAUAGAGGAAGGUGGAAUUCCCGGUGUAGUGGUGAAAUGCGUAGAUAUCGGGAGGAACACCAGUGGCGAAAGCGGCCUUCUGGAUCACAUCUGACGCUCAGACGCGAAAGCUAGGGGAG
rnacentral:rRNA from 1 species